CCGCUGUUCAUCCGUCCUCCAAUAAAUCAUGCAGGUGUCGCUGCAUACAUCUAUUACCUGAUACGAUAAACCAAGACCAGCUACGAGUUUCUGAACCUCGUAGUAUGAACCAGGAGCUACAUUAUCCUCGGGUAGAAUACCUUUUACAAAAUCAACAAUCGCAUCCACACAGUCUUCAGCCAAAUUAUAAUCUGUUUUAAUGCCCAUCAAUCUUGUAGCAGAUGAUAAAGCUGAAUGACCAUCUCUGCAACCUUCGUACAAUGGUUGCUUUCCAGCAUCUAACAUAUCAUAAAAUCUCCUAGCUUGUGCAUUGGGUAAAUCUUCCCCUCUAAAAUGAUCAUUUACCAUCUGCUCAGUACCUACACCAUAAUCUACAUCCGUUCUAAUUGGUUCUUCUAAUCUAACCACUGGCUAAGGUUCGCUAGUACUACCAUGUUCAUAAUCAGUUUCCCCAUGAUGAUACCAAAUUUUGUAACUUUCGUGUAAACCCACUCAAAUAUAGAUGAGUCCAAACAUCCCAC
rnacentral:lncRNA from 1 species